rnacentral:rRNA from 1 species
UACGUAGGGUCCGAGCGUUGUCCGGAAUCAUUGGGCGUAAAGCGCGUGUAGGCGGUUCGGUAAGUCCGCUGUGAAAGUCGGGGGCUCAACCCUCGAAAGCCGGUGGAUACUGUCGGACUAGAGUGCGGAAGAGGAGAGUGGAAUUCCUGGUGUAGCGGUGAAAUGCGCAGAUAUCAGGAAGAACACCUAUGGCGAAGGCAGCUCUCUGGGACGGUACUGACGCUGAGACGCGAAAGCGUGGGGAGCGAACAGG